rnacentral:misc_RNA from 1 species
AACAAGUGUGAUAUUUAUUAUGAAAAAUAAAUUGCCAUAACCGGCUUGGCCAAAAAAAAUUGUAGCAGUUAUGUUCACACAAUAACAAUGUAAAGCUACAAAUUGGAUUAACUCUGCAAAAUAAGAAAUUAAUGAAAAGAAAAGGAAUUCUUGUGGUUUUCACAAGACCAAGUCUUUCUGACACGGAAUUACUUCGUAUGUUACCUCCAAAUUUUCAUCUAAUUUUCCUCAAUGUUCUUAUUUAAUGAGGGGGGAAAAGAGUCUCAAAAAAUUCUAGAUUGGCAGACGCAUCAUAUAUAUCUCAUUUAAGCAGUUGAUUCCUUCAGAUAAGCAAUAAGGUCGGCACGAUCCUGAGGUUUCUUCAGCCCUGGGAAAACCAUCUUUGUUCCGGGAAUGUACUUCUUGGGGUUAAGCAAGUAAUCAUACAACGUCUUUUCUUCCCAUAUCACGGCCAUAUUCUUGUUGGCAGCAGAGUAAGAGUAUCCAGGAGUUGUACCAGACUGCCGUCCAAAUAGCCCAUUCAAAUUGGGACCUUGCUUAUGACCAGCCCCUUUGUCGACAGUGUGGCACUGAGCGCAUUUGGUCUUGAAGAUCUUCUCUCCAGCUUUGGAAUUGCCGGGAGGGGCUUCGUCAAAGCUCGCCAUGGCGUAGGAAUUAGGUGGCGUUCAGAUCUGAAGGCUAGGGUUCGCGGUGUUUG